rnacentral:rRNA from 1 species
AUACCUGGCGGCGUGCCUAUCAUGCAAGUCGAGCGAACCCUUCGGUGGUGAGCGGCGAACGGGUGAGUAACACGUAGGUGAUCUGCCCAUCAGACGGGGACAACGAUUGGAAACGAUCGCUAAUACCGGAUAGGACGAAAGUUUAAAGGUGCUCCUGGCACCGCUGAUGGAUGAGCCUGCGGCGCAUUAGCUAGUUGGUAGGGUAAAGGCCUACCAAGGCGACGAUGCGUAGCCGACCUGAGAGGGUGAACGGCCACACUGGGACUGAGACACGGCCCAGACUCCUACGGGAGGCAGCAGUAGGGAAUCUUCGGCAAUGGGCGAAAGCCUGACCGAGCAACGCCGCGUGAAUGAUGAAGGCCUUCGGGUUGUAAAAUUCUGUUAUAAGGGAAGAACGACUUUAGUAGGAAAUGGCUAAAGUGUGACGGUACCUUAUGAGAAAGCCACGGCUAACUACGUGCCAGCAGCCGCGGUAAU